UGCUAAGGUGUUCUGAAUGAUAUUAAGGGUGUUGCUAUGCAGGUAGUAGACUGUAGAUGUGUUUGGUUGUCAGGGUGUUGCUAAGGUGUUCUGAAUGGUAUUAAGGGUGUUGCUAUGCAGGUAGUAGACUGUAGAUGUGUUUGGUUGUCAGGGUGUUGCUAAUGUGUUCUGAAUGGUAUUAAGGGUGUUGCUAUGCAGGUAGUAGGCUGUAGAUGUGUUUGGUUGUCAGGGUGUUGCUAAUGUGUUCUGAAUGGUAUUAAGGGUGUUGCUAUGCAGGUAGUAGGCUGUUGAUGUGUUUGGUUGCCAGGGUGUUGCUAAGGUGUUCUGAAUGGUAUUAAGGGUGUUGCUAUGCAGGUAGUAGGCUGUUGAUGUGUUUGGUUGUCAGGGUGUUGCUAAGGUGUUCUGAAUGGUAUUAAGGGUGUUGCUAUGCAGGUAGUAGGCUGUUGAUGUGUUUGGUUGCCAGGGUGUUGCUAAGGUGUUCUGAAUGGUAUUAAGGGUGUUGCUAUGCAGGUAGUAGGCUGUAGAUGUGUUUGGUUGUCAGGGUGUUGCUAAUGUGUUCUGAAUGGUAUUAAGGGUGUU